rnacentral:rRNA from 1 species
GAUGAACGCUAGCGGCAGGCUUAAUACAUGCAAGUCGAGGGGCAGCAGGGGUGUAGCAAUACACUCGCUGGCGACCGGCAAACGGGUGCGGAACACGUACGCAACUUUACCCAAAACGUGGGGAAUAGCCCGGGGAAACCCGGAUUAAUACCUCGUAACAUAGUGAAGUGGCAUUCACUUUUAUUAUUAUAGCUCCGGCGGUUUUGGAUGGGCGUGCGCCUGAUUAGGUAGUUGGCGGGGUAACGCCCACCAAGCCUACGAUCAGUAACUGGUGUGAGAGCACGACCAGUCACACGGGCACUGAGACACGGGCCCGACUCCUACGGGAGGCAGCAGUAAGGAUAUGGUCAAUGGACGCAAGUCUGAACCAGCCAUGCCGCGUGAA